rnacentral:rRNA from 1 species
GACGACGCUGGCGGCGCGCUUAACACAUGCAAGUCGUGCGGUACCGAUGGCAAGUCUUCAUGACGAGCCUUCGGUAUAGCGGCGGACGGGUGAGUAACACGUGAGUAGCUGUCCUAGGGAGGGGGAUAACGCCUGGAAACGGGUGCUAAAACCCCAUAAGCCUCGCAAGAGGUGAAAGUGUACUUGUUACAGCCUUAGGGUGUGCUCGCGGCCUAUCAGCUAGUUGGUGAGGUAAGGGCUCACCAAGGCUAAGACGGGUAGCCGGCCUGAGAGGGUGUACGGCCACACUGGAAUUGAGAUACGGUCCAGACUCCUACGGGAGGCAGCAGUGGGGAAUUUUGGGCAAUGGGCGAAAGCCUGACCCAGCGACGCCGCGUUGGGGAUGAAGUCCUUCGGGGCGUAAACCCAUGUUGUAGGGGAAGAAGAAAGUGACGGUACCCUACGAGAAAGCCCCGGCCAACUACGUG